UGUUCCGGCGCCUCUUGAGCCCCUCGAUGUAUCGCUGCAGCUGCUUGGUCAGGAAGUGGUUCCGGCCGAUCUCCGAUCGGUAACCUGGAGGGCAGAACCCAACUCAGGGCGGUGAGCAAGGGCAUGGCCUCCGCAGCAGCUGGUCUUUGUUCUUUGGCGAACUUUGGAUCUCCAGGGUACUGGGACCUGCCUGUUUUGUUUGUUUCGAAUGGUCAAGCCAUAGACCUGUGCUCCAAACAGAUGGGGGAUUCAGAGUAGGAUGGGGGUGUUGGAGUGGAGGAUGGUUGAGGAAGGCAAGUUUAGAGAAGAUGUUGCCGGCCUGAGCUCGGGCACUGGGAGCAGACUGCUUUGGGGACACCGCUUCGACCACCCAGUCUCAGCCAUUAGCCCUCCCCACCCCACCCCCACAUUCAUAAGUAGGCUCGAUGGGGUGUGUGCUUCAAGAUAUUGAGCGAUGACACUGAGGAAGACUCUUCUGGGAGAAGAGAAAAAAGGGAUCAGUCAUUUGCAGACUGCUGAGACUUCCCUGGAGCAGAGGAGAUGUAUGGCAAUAGAAACUGAGGCCCUGGCCAUCCCCCUGCCCUGUGGGCGCCCACAGCCCCGUGAAGCCACACUGACCGUUGUCGGUCUUGGAAUCGUCCUCCUCUAAAGGGCCUCCCAGGCAGCUGCCGCGGCGCAUCUCCAGCUCCAUCAAGGCGUGC